rnacentral:lncRNA from 1 species
UUUUCGCGUGGAUCUACUUAUUCUCUUCGUUCUUUUAUACCCGGUGCGUUUUGGUUUUAUGUUAAAAACCAAAAUCAUUUUGUUCCACUUUUCCUCAUUUUUGCUUAUCACCCAAGUUUGGACUUUCUCGCGUCUCUUUCUCUGUUCAAGAACAGCACCACCCGAAACCUUUAAUAACCCAAAAACUCUCACAACUUUUUGGCCCACCACCGAUUGCUACUGUUGUCAGUGCCGAUCUUUGAUCAAAAUUCAGCCAAAAAUUCUCCUCAAUCUCCUAAGGAUUUCUAACGAAACCGAUUUUUCAAAAAACUCUCCUAUAUGUACAGAUCUAAAACCUAAAAUAAAAAAGAACCCACUGCUAAAGACUUCCCUUCCACCGUUCCCAAUCUCCUAAGCAACAACUAUGUUGAUAUCCUUUCUUCUUUCUAUUUCCCAAAAUUAGAACUCUAGAGAAAUCCUCAUUAACUAAACCCAAAACACCAAGAAAACCCCAAAAAACUUUUUCCGUUAAAAAAGUUUUUUGCGUUCUUUCUUGUUGUUGUAUUUUGAUUUCUGCUUUUGUGUUUGUUUUUUAUCAAAAAAAAUUUUCUUGCGUUCUUUGUUACUGUUGUAUCUUGGUUUUUGCUUGUCUGUUUGUUUUUUCUGCGUAUAAUUCGUGUAUGAAUUAUUGUUAUUGUGAUUUGAUAUUUUUUGUUGGCGGAUUCUGGGGGAAAUUUUGAUGGAUUCAUUGCAAAUUGGAUCUUAUUUAGGGGUAAAAAAGUAAUUUUAUAAAUUAAACAGCUAUCAAGCAUAAAACGGGAAUUAUUGUAUACUUUUAUAUAUUUUAUUUUAAUUAAAAGAUAAAAUAUUAAAUUUAUAAUAUUAAAAAGGAUAAAAAAAGUAAUUGUGCUAAAAUGACGUGUCAAAAAACAAUCUCUUGUAGCUUUAAUUUACUUCAUCUGUCCCGCU